AGGAACUGGCUGGAAGAUGGGGUGUGUGUGCGUAUAUGGGAGCGAGGAAAGCGCUGUAGGAAGCAUGCAGGCCGCUUUAUUUUACAGCUGUGGGAGUGGUGGACAAGGGCGGCGGCUCUGCGAGAAGCACGUGGGCGCGGCGGGCCGCCUCAGGGAUGGAGUAGGCUGUGGUCUUGCCAACUCCCGUUAUCAAAGGCCCAAGGACGCCAUUCACUCAGCCCCGGGCGGGCGUGGGUCUGGGGGCCGGAAACCCGAAGUCCUGUGGGUGCCGUGGAAUGCACGAGCAGCCGGCGGAGCAAACCUGCCCCAUAGAUUUUUCUAAACCGUUCGCCACAGAAACGCUACUCUGUCUUCUCUGACCGACUCUGUGCACUGCAGCCUUGCACAAAGAAAACAGGAGAAAACCAAAUACAGCAAGAAUGAGAGAAAUUGCACUGUUGCAUUAAAAAGAAUUUUCCUGCCGGGCGCAGUGACUCACGCCUGUAAUCUCAGCACUUGGGGAGGCCGAGGCGGGUGGAUCACGAGGUCAAGAGAUCAAGACCAUCCUCGCCAACAUGGUGAAACCCCGUCUCUACUAAAAAUACAAAAAAUUAGCCGGGUGUGGUGGCGGAUGCCUGUAGUCCCAGCUACUCAAGAAGCUGAGGCAGGAGAAUCACUUGGACCCUGGAGGCAGAGGUUGCAGUGAGCCGAGAUUUCGCCACUGCACUCCAGCCUGGCGACAUAAUGAGACUCUGUCUUAAAAAAAAAAAAAAAAGGAAUUUUCCUCUCACUUUCUUCUCACCACUACUAGAUUAAAGGAGCCCCCUUUUCUUCUGCAGGUGAGAGGUGACAGCGUGCUGGCAGUCCUCACAGCCCUCGCUCGCUCUCAGCGCCUCCUCUGCCUGGGCUCCCACUUCGGCGGCACUUUAGGAGCCCUUCAGCCCACCACUGCACUGUGGGAGCCCCUUUCUGGGCUGGCCAAGGCCGGGGCCGGCUCCCUCAGCUUGCAGGGAGGUGUGGAGAGAGAGGCGCGAGCGGGAACCGGGGCUGCGCGCGUGGCUUGAGGGCCAGCUGGAGUUCCGGGUGGGCGUGGGCUUGGCGGCCCAGCACUCGGAGCAGCCCCCUGCCGGUCCCGGGCAAUGAGGGGCUUAGCACCCAGGCCAGCGGCUGCGGAGGGUGUACUGGGUCCCCCAGCAGUGCCGGCCCACCGGUGCUGCACUCGAUUUCUCGCCGGGCAGGGCUCGGGACCUGCAGCCCACCAUGCCUGAGCCUCCCACCCCCUCCGUGGGCUCGUGUGCGGCCGGAGCCUCCCCUAGGAGCGCCGCCCCCUGCUCCAGGGCGCCCAGUCCCAUCGACCACCCAAGGGCUGAGGAGUGCCGGCGCACGGCGCGGGACUGGCAGGCAGCUCCACCUGCAGCCCCAUUGCGCGAUCCACUGGGUGAAGCCAGCUGGGCUUCUGAGUCUGGUGGGGAUGUGGAGAAGCUUUAUGUCUAGCUCAGGGAUUGUAAAUAUACCAAUCGGCACUCUGUAUCUAGCUCAAGGUUUGUAAACACACCAAUCAGCACCCCUGUCUAGCUCAGGGUUUGUGAAUGCAAUCGACACUCUGUAUCUAGCUACUCUGGUGGGGACUUGGAGAACCUUUGUGUGGACACUCUGUAUCUAGCUAAUCUGGUGGGGACGUGGAGAACCUUUAUAUCUAGCUCAGGGAUUGUAAACACACCAAUCAGCGCCCUGUCAAAACAGACCACUCAGCUCUACCAAUCAGCAGGAUGUGGGUGGGGCCAGAUAAGAGAAUAAAAGCAGGCUGCCCAUGCCAGGAGUGGCAACCUGCUCGGGUCCCAUUCCACACUAUGGGAGCUUUGUUCCUUCACUCUUUGCAAUAAAUCUUGCUGCUGCUCACUCUUUGGGUCCACACUGCCUUUAUGAGCUGUAACACUCACUGCGAAGGUCUGCAGCUUCACCACGAACCCACCGGGAGGAACGAACAACUCCAGAUGCGCCGCCUUAGGAGCUGUAACACUCGCCGCGAAGGUCCGUGGCUUCACUCCUGAGCCAGCGAGACCACGAAGCCCACCAGAAGGAAGAAAUUCCGAACACAUCCGAACAUCAGAAGGAACAAACUCUGGACACGCCACCUUUAGGAACUGUAACACUCACCGCGAGGAUCCGCGGCUUCAUUCUUGAAGUCAGUGAGACCAAGAACCCACUAAUUCCGGACACACAGGGACAGCAAUCCACUGCUUGCCUUGAUGUACGAUUGAAGCCUAUCACCCCUUCUGCAGCAGUGGCUCCAGAGAGCAUCAGUAAAGAUGGCAAGAUUGAAAUCCAAGCAACAGAAUUUCCACUGAAUAGAAAUUUCUGAGGAAAGUGUAAGGACAGGUGUGAGAAUUCUGGUGGCAAGGAUGAGGAAGCAUCCCCCUUCCCAAACAGGAAAGAAGAGCCAAGAGACCUGAAAAGGAGCUGGAGCCAAGAAGGUGAAAAGGAGCGAGACCACAUUUGGCCUAUCAGAAAUAAGGAAAACUUUUUCUAUCCAUCUUUAAUAUGGGAAGAAUACUUUUAUGUAAUUUACUUGAUAUAAAUUGACAUCAUAGGACAUGGGGAAGAAAGGAUGCUUUGAAGAUGCAAGGUUCUUGCCCUGUCACCGAAUAAUGCAGUGGUUAUCAAAGCUCAUAACAGCCUCAAACUCCUGGGCUCAAGCAAUCCUCCACCACAUCCUCCUGAGUAUCUGGGACUACA
rnacentral:lncRNA from 1 species